rnacentral:sRNA from 1 species
AUUCUGCCCAUGCUGGGAAGGAUGAGAAGCUUCGACUAAGGUUCGGCUCGAGCGUCAGCGAGAGAGCGUUGCCGCAGGCAACGACCCGAAGGGCGAAGCGCGCAGCGCUGAGUAAUCCUUCCCCCACCACCA